GAAGCAACUUCUUUUAGAGCCAAACAUUCCAGUGGGGUCAGUCUUAGCUCUUGAGAGGUUUAGAAAGGAAGAGGGGUGGUCGCUGUAAUUAAAGGAGAGAAAGGGUAUAAGUCCUUCCUAAUCCUUUGUUCCUCUUUAGGUGCACAGAACCAGAAGCAAUGCGGCCCAACAAAGAAACACAGGAAGACAGGAAGACACAACUUCUAACUGUGCUGCAACCUUUGCUGUUUUGUCUCAAACUGAAACUGUUGCUGCUAUUUCCUCAGGCACAGGAUGAAUGCGGUCAGGCACACUGGGAGUCACACUGCCCCCUGCUGCAUGGAGUUUGUUUAGGAUCAAUGUUUUUAGUCAAAUUUUAAUUGCAAGUUUAAGAUAAUAAUGACUUGCAGAACACAGGAAGGAGAAAUGGUCACUCGGGACUUUCUGAUGCACGCCUAUGGUUCCUGAAGAUGCACAAGAUGGAUGUGGGGAAGCAGACGUGAAAAAGACCAACUAAGCAGUGUUCAAUAAUUGUGCUUAUGAUUAAUGUCUGACAUGAGACUUGCACUUUCCCCCCUUCUCUUAGGCAGUUUCAUGUCCAUGUUACUAGGGGCAUAAAAACUAAAUAAAAGAGGGUGAACUGCAGGAAAUCCUCAGAAUGUUGGGUUGGAGGUACUGAGCUGACUUCCUGUCCUGCGUUCUCCUCACUCUUGUCAAAGCUGAGUUUGACUGUCUCUUUCUUCCUUGUUUGUAUUUGUAAAUGUUCUAGA